UAAGGAUAUAGUGGGAGCCCUUGCUGCAGGGAUAUGCGGGGGGACUGCAAGUGGCUGCUGCAGUAGGGAAAUGACUAGCUUGUCCUUAAGGAUUAAGAAACACUUCACUCUUUCUCUUGUUGGAUUGUUUGAGACUUCGACCGUGUGCUGUACUGGGAAAGUAAAUGGAGUGGUCUCAAGUACGGACCUGGCUGGAGGACUGAGUUACUAUCUACCGGAAGAGAGACUGCACCUGAGCGACCAUCCGCGGGGGAUGCUAUUGAUGAGAGAGCUGGUACCCUGGAACCUAACCACCAGGCAGCACCCAUGGCUUCUGAGACUGCUAUGGGAAUUGGUGACAAGAUGAUGGAUCAGUUUCACCAUAUUGGCUUGUUGAUCCAACAAACCUAAAGUGGAUAUUGGCAUUUGUCAUUCAGCUUUGGACCCCUACAGACUCCUGCUGCUGAUUAGUCAAAUACUUCACCUCCUUGUAAUUAAUGUUUUAACAGCAGAGCCUCUGAGAGACUCUCAAGGGAACAAACUUUUACAAUACAACUGCAAAGAAGUGUUACUUAGUACCAGUUGAGUGAGAAGAAGGGAGCAUAUGGGAAAAGGGAGGAAAUCAAUGGCAAUGUUUGAACAGCUUAACCCUGUUGGCCCUUGCAUGUUAAUAGAUUACUUAUGCAUCAUUUACCAGUAGGAGGAAAUUAGUAUGAUUAGCAUUUUCUGUUUAUUGACUGCAAAUCACACAUUGGAAAAAUGUUUGCAUGCAUUUUUGUUUAUUCCCUUGAAAAACAUUGACAGUGACUGGGAGGCCAGGACAACCUCA